GACGAACGCUGGCGGCGUGCCUAAUACAUGCAAGUAGAACGCUGAAGAGAGGAGCUUGCUCUUCUUGAAUGAGUUGCGAACGGGUGAGUAACGCGUAGGUAACCUGCCUUGUAGCGGGGGAUAACUAUUGGAAACGAUAGCUAAUACCGCAUAACAAUGGGUGACACAUGUCAUUUAUUUGAAAGGGGCAAUUGCUCCACUACAAGAUGGACCUGCGUUGUAUUAGCUAGUAGGUGAGGUAACGGCUCACCUAGGCGACGAUACAUAGCCGACCUGAGAGGGUGAUCGGCCACACUGGGACUGAGACACGGCCCAGACCCCUACGGGAGGCAGCAGUAGGGAAUCUUCGGCAAUGGGGGCAACCCUGACCGAGCAACGCCGCGUGAGUGAAGAAGGUUUUCGGAUCGUAAAGCUCUGUUGUAAGUCAAGAACGAGUGUGAGAGUGGAAAGUUCACACUGUGACGGUAGCUUACCAGAAAGGGACGGCUAACUACGUGCCAGCAGCCGCGGUAAUACGUAGGUCCCGAGCGUUGUCCGGAUUUAUUGGGCGUAAAGCGAGCGCAGGCGGUUUGAUAAGUCUGAAGUUAAAGGCUGUGGCUCAACCAUAGUUCGCUUUGGAAACUGUCAAACUUGAGUGCAGAAGGGGAGAGUGGAAUUCCAUGUGUAGCGGUGAAAUGCGUAGAUAUAUGGAGGAACACCGGUGGCGAAAGCGGCUCUCUGGUCUGUAACUGACGCUGAGGCUCGAAAGCGUGGGGAGCGAACAGG
rnacentral:rRNA from 1 species